AGUGAACGCUGGCGGUAGGCCUAACACAUGCAAGUCGAACGGCAGCACAGUAAGAGCUUGCUCUUACGGGUGGCGAGUGGCGGACGGGUGAGGAAUACAUCGGAAUCUACUUUUUCGUGGGGGAUAACGUAGGGAAACUUACGCUAAUACCGCAUACGACCUACGGGUGAAAGCAGGGGAUCUUCGGACCUUGCGCGAUUGAAUGAGCCGAUGUCGGAUUAGCUAGUUGGCGGGGUAAAGGCCCACCAAGGCGACGAUCCGUAGCUGGUCUGAGAGGAUGAUCAGCCACACUGGAACUGAGACGCGGACCAGACUCCUACGGGAGGCAGCAGUGGGGAAUAUUGGACAAUGGGCGCAAGCCUGAUACAGCCAUACCGCGUGGGUGAAGAAGGCCUUCGGGUUGUAAAGCCCUUUUGUUGGGAGAGAAAAGCAGCAGGUUAAUACCCCGCUGUUCUGACGGUACCCAAAGAAUAAGCACCGGCUAACUUCGUG
rnacentral:rRNA from 1 species